rnacentral:rRNA from 1 species
CUACGGGAUGCAGCAGUGGGGAAUAUUGGACAAUGGGGGAAACCCUGAUCCAGCAAUGCCGCGUGUGUGAAGAAGGCCUGCGGGUUGUAAAGCACUUUCGGUUGGGAGGACUGCUUCUAGCACUAAUAUUGUUGGAAGUUGACGUUACCUUCAGAAGAAGCACCGGCUAACUCCGUGCCAGCAGCCGCGGUAAUACGGGAGGGUGCAAGCGUUAAUCGGAAUUACUGGGCGUAAAGCGCGCGUAGGCGGCUAGAUCAGUCGGGUGUGAAAGCCCCGGGCUUAACCUGGGAACUGCAGCCGAUACUGUCUAGCUUGAGUACAGGAGAGGAGAGUGGAAUUCCACAUGUAGCGGUGAAAUGCGUAGAUAUGUGGAGGAACACCAAUGGCGAAGGCAGCUCUCUGGCCUGAUACUGACGCUGAGGUGCGAAAGCGUGGGGAGCAAACAGGAUUAGAUACCCCAGUAGUC